rnacentral:rRNA from 1 species
GACGAACGCUGGCGGCGUGCUUAACACAUGCAAGUCGAACGGAAAGGCCCUGCUUUUGUGGGGUGCUCGAGUGGCGAACGGGUGAGUAACACGUGAGUAACCUGCCCUUGACUUUGGGAUAACUUCAGGAAACUGGGGCUAAUACCGGAUAGGAGCUCCUGCUGCAUGGUGGGGGUUGGAAAGUUUCGGCGGUUGGGGAUGGACUCGCGGCUUAUCAGCUUGUUGGUGGGGUAGUGGCUUACCAAGGCUUUGACGGGUAGCCGGCCUGAGAGGGUGACCGGCCACAUUGGGACUGAGAUACGGCCCAGACUCCUACGGGAGGCAGCAGUGGGGAAUAUUGCACAAUGGGCGGAAGCCUGAUGCAGCAACGCCGCGUGCGGGAUGACGGCCUUCGGGUUGUAAACCGCUUUCGCCUGUGACGAAGCGUGAGUGACGGUAAUGGGUAAAGAAGCACCGGCUAACUACGUGCCAGCAGCCGCGGUGAUACGUAGGGUGCGAGCGUUGUCCGGAUUUAUUGGGCGUAAAGGGCUCGUAGGUGGUUGAUCGCGUCGGAAGUGUAAUCUUGGGGCUUAACCCUGAGCGUGCUUUCGAUACGGGUUGACUUGAGGAAGGUAGGGGAGAAUGGAAUUCCUGGUGGAGCGGUGGAAUGCGCAGAUAUCAGGAGGAACACCAGUGGCGAAGGCGGUUCUCUGGGCCUUUCCUGACGCUGAGGAGCGAAGGCGUGGGGAGCGAACAGGCUUAGAUACCCUGGUAGUCCACGCUGUAAACGGUGGGUACUAGGUGUGGGGUCCAUUCCACGGGUUCCGUGCCGUAGCUAACGCUUUAAGUACCCCGCCUGGGGAGUACGGCCGCAAGGCUAAAACUCAAAGGAAUUGACGGGGCCCCGCACAAGCGGCGGAGCAUGCGGAUUAAUUCGAUGCAACGCGUAGAACCUUACCUGGGUUUGACAUGGAUCGGGAGUGCUCAGAGAUGGGUGUGCCUCUUUUGGGGUCGGUUCACAGGUGGUGCAUGGCUGUCGUCAGCUCGUGUCGUGAGAUGUUGGGUUAAGUCCCGCAACGAGCGCAACCCUUGUUCACUGUUGCCAGCACGUUAUGGUGGGGACUCAGUGGAGACCGCCGGGGUCAACUCGGAGGAAGGUGGGGAUGACGUCAAGUCAUCAUGCCCCUUAUGUCCAGGGCUUCACGCAUGCUACAAUGGCUGGUACAGAGAGUGGCGAGCCUGUGAGGGUGAGCGAAUCUCGGAAAGCCGGUCUCAGUUCGGAUUGGGGUCUGCAACUCGACCUCAUGAAGUCGGAGUCGCUAGUAAUCGCAGAUCAGCAACGCUGCGGUGAAUACGUUCCCGGG